rnacentral:snoRNA from 1 species
UGUUGAUGAUGACAAAUCCAAUGGCUUGUUUCUAAAAAACAUUUGCAGUGGCCGCCUAAGAGAUUUCGCCUUCGUCUAGGCUUGAGAGCUAGUGCUGCUUCUAUCCUUCCUUGGAUGUCUGAAACA